rnacentral:rRNA from 1 species
UACAGAGGGUGCAAGCGUUAAUCGAAAUUACUGGGCGUAAAGGGUGCGUAGGUGGUUUGAUAAGUUAGAUGUGAAAGUCCUGGGCUCAACCUGGGGAUUGCGUCUGAUACUGUCAGGCUAGAGUUCUGUAGAGGAAGGUGGAAUUUCCGGAGUAGCGGUGAAAUGCGUAGAUAUCAGGAGGAACACCGAUGGCGAAGGCAGGUCUCUGGGCCACUACUGACGCUGAGAAGCGAAAGCAUGGGGAGCGAACAGG